AGAGUUUGAUUCUGGCUCAGGAUGAACGCUGGCGGCGUGGAUAAGGCAUGCAAGUCAAGGGGGUUUUGGGAGCAAUUUCAAAACAACCGGCGAACGAGUUAGUAACACCUUGGUACAUAACCUAAAGUCGGGCACAACCCCGCGAAAGCGGAGCUAAUUCCCGAUGUUGAAGCAAUUCCAAAGGAGCAAUCCGCUUUGGGAGUGGCCUAGGUCCUAUCAGCUUGUUGGCGGGGUAAAAGCCCACCAAGGCUAUGACGGGUAGGGGGCGUGAGAGCGCGUUCCUCAACGACGACACUGAGAUACGGGUCGUACACCUACGGGUGGCAGCAGUCAAGAACAUUCGACAAUGGGCGAAAGCCUGAUCGAGCGACGCCGCGUGCAGGAAGAAGUCCUUCGGGAUGUAAACUGCUUUUGCGUAGGAAAAAUUUUGAUUGUACUACGAGAAUAAGGGGUUGCUAACCUCGUGCCAGCAGCAGCGGUAAUACGAGGACCCCGAGCGUUAUCCGGAAUUACUGGGCAUAAAGAGCGAGUAGCCGGUUUUGUUAGUCUGAUGUUAAAUUCCGAGGCUUAACUUCGGAGCCGCAUCGGAAACGGCAAGAGUCCAGCUCAAAGUUAUUUUCUAAGACGAAAUUGAAAUAUUUGAGACGAAAUAAAGAAAAAAUUUUAAGGCAUAGCCUUGGGCGCUAUACUGAAAAAUUUUUCCAAAGUUGCAAUCCAAAUAUUUUAAUUGCAGUCAGAAAGAUAAUUUCGAGUUGGACUCCUUGAACUAGAGCAGGUAAGAGGUAAGCGGAACGUGCGGUGUAGGGGUGAAAUCCAUUGAUAUCGCACGGAACACCAAAAGCGAAGGCAGCUUACUGGUGCUUUGCUGACGGUCAAUCGCGAAAGCGUGGGCAUAAAAAAGGAUUAGAUACCCUUGUAUUCCACGCCCUAAACUAUGCUGACUAGCUAUUGGGAGCAUCGACCCUUCCAGUGGCGUAGCUAAUGCGUUAAGUCAGCCGCCUGGGAAGUACGAGCGCAAGCUUAAAACUUAAAGAAAUAGGCGGGAAUUCGCACAAGCGGUGGAUCAUGUGGUUUAAUUCGACACUGAGCGAAGAACCUCACCAAGGCUUGAAAUCCUAGUGUAAGCUCCGGGAAACCGGGGCCCCCGCAAGGCUCUAGGACAGGUGCUGCACGGCUGAACUAUCGGCCGGUAGGGGAGCAAUUCCCUACAAAAAUAACCAGCUCAUAACGGUGGAGUCCGAAAUAUAUUAAUGUUAAAAUUAAUAUAUGGAUAAUACCGUGGGAAGCCCGAAUACAAGUUUUUGUAACUUUCCGAAAUCAACUCAAGAUUAUUAUAUUCUUGGCCUUUGGUGCGCUGAUGGCUACCACUGGACAAGCAGUAUAGGAUUGAGCAAUAUUGAUUUAAUUUUAAUUAAGAAAUUUAGAAAUUUUCUUUCAGGAUUAUUUCCUAAAGAAAGAAUUAAAUUGGAUCAAUACAGAACAGGAAAGAGAAAAUAUGUUGGAUAUAAGAUUUAUGUAAAUUGCAGGCCGUUAUUAAGAAUUUUUAAAAAAUUCAAAGACAAUAAUAACGAGAGGAGUAUAAAUAAUGCCGAAGCAAUAAAAGCUUAUAU
rnacentral:rRNA from 1 species